CCAUAGCCCUGAUAGAAGUGGAAAUCCUUUCCUGACCUGAACUUGUUUUCAGGUUCCUGAAACUCGUUCAGGUCAGGAAAGAUUGCAACGGAUAGCAGGAAAUAGC
rnacentral:sRNA from 1 species